UGAACGGAUCGAUAUUUGCUGGAUGCUUUAUGCGUCAAAAGGAUUCGUCUGCCCAAGGAUGGGUCUGCGGCCUAUCAGGUAGUAGUGGGUGUAAUGUACCUACUAGCCAGCGACGGGUACGGGUUGUGAGAGCAAGAGCCCGGAGAUGGAUUCUGAGACAUGAAUCCAGGCCCUACGGGGCGCAGCAGGCGCGAAAACUUUACAAUGCGGGAAACCGUGAUAAGGGGACACCGAGUGCCAGCAUCAUAUGCUGGCUGUCCGGAUGUGUAAAAUACAUCCGUUAGCAAGGGCCGGGCAAGACCGGUGCCAGCCGCCGCGGUAACACCGGCGGCCCGAGUGGUGAUCGUGAUUAUUGGGUCUAAAGGGUCCGUAGCCGGUUUGGUCAGUCCUCCGGGAAAUCUGAUAGCUCAACUAUUAGGCUUUCGGGGGAUACUGCCAGACUUGGAACCGGGAGAGGUAAGAGGUACUACAGGGGUAGGAGUGAAAUCUUGUAAUCCCUGUGGGACCACCUGUGGCGAAGGCGUCUUACCAGAACGGGUUCGACGGUGAGGGACGAAAGCUGGGGGCACGAACCGGAUUAGAUACCCGGGUAGUCCCAGCCGUAAACGAUGCUCGCUAGGUGUCAGGCAUGGCGCGACCGUGUCUGGUGC
rnacentral:rRNA from 1 species